rnacentral:rRNA from 1 species
GACCACCUGAAUCCAUGCCGAACUCAGCAGUGAAACGCCGUCGCGCCGAUGGUAGUGUGGGGCCUCCCCAUGCGAGAGUAGGGCACUGCCA